rnacentral:misc_RNA from 1 species
GUGAAUCAUCGAAUCUUUGAACGCACAUUGCGCCCCUUGGUAUUCCGGGGGGCACACCUGUUCGAGCGCCAUUUCGACCCUCAAGCAUAGCUUGGUGUUGGGCAUGGUCCCAGGGGACCUGCCCGUAACUCGUAGGCAGCCACCGCCCGCGCCCCUAGCGUAGCAAGCUCACGCGUUCGCUCGGGGACGGCGCGCCUGGUAGCCCAAAACAUUUUUCAAGGUUUGGCCUCGGAUCAGGUGGGGAUACCCGCUGAACUUAAGCAUAUCAAUAAGCGGAGGA